AUACGUAGGUGGCGAGCGUUGUCCGGAUUUACUGGGCGUAAAGGGUGCGUAGGCGGAUAUUUAAGUGGGAUGUGAAAACCCCGGGCUUAACCUGGGGACUGCAUUUCAAACUGGAUAUCUGGAGUGCAGGAGAGGAAAGCGGAAUUCCUAGUGUAGCGGUGAAAUGCGUAGAGAUUAGGAAGAACACCAGUGGCGAAGGCGGCUUUCUGGACUGUAACUGACGCUGAGGCACGAAAGCGUGGGUAGCAAACAGGAUUAGAUACCCUGGUAGUCCACGCCGUAAACGAUGAGUACUAGGUGUAGGAGGUAUCGACCCCUUCUGUGCCGCAGUAAACGCAAUAAGUACUCCGCCUGGGAAGUACGAUCGCAAGAUUAA
rnacentral:rRNA from 1 species